rnacentral:rRNA from 1 species
GAUGAACGCUGGCGGCGUGCCUAAUACAUGCAAGUCGAGCGAACAGACGAGGAGCUUGCUCCUCUGACGUUAGCGGCGGACGGGUGAGUAACACGUGGAUAACCUACCUAUAAGACUGGGAUAACUUCGGGACACCGGAGCUAAUACCGGAUAAUCUAUUGAACCGCAUGGUUCAAUAGUGAAAGACGGUUUUGCUGUCACUUAUAGAUGCAUCCGGGCCGCAUUAGCUAGUUGGUAAGGUAACGGCUUACCAAGGCGACGAUGCGUAGCCGACCUGGGAGGGUGAUCGGCCACACUGGAACUGAGACACGGUCCAGGCUCCUACGGGAGGGAGCAGUAGGGAAUCUUCCGCAAUAGGCGAGAGCUUGACGGAGCAACGCCGCGUGAGUGGUGGAGGUCUUCGGAUCGUAAAACUCUGUUAUUGGGGAAAAACAAAUGUGUAAGUAGCUGUGCACGUCUUGACGGUACCUAGUCAGAAAGCCACGGCUAACUACGUG